GAUGAACGCUAGCGAUAGGCUUAACACAUGCAAGUCGAGGGGCAGCACAAGGUAGCUUGCUAUCUGGGUGGCGACCGGCGCACGGGUGCGUAACGCGUAUGCAACUUGCCCUAUACAGGAGGAUAACCCGUCGAAAGACGGACUAAUACUGCGUAUGCUCACAACUUGGCAUCAAGUGGUGAGGAAAGAAAUUCGGUAUAGGAUAGGCAUGCGUCCCAUUAGCUUGUUGGUGAGGUGACGGCUCACCAAGGCAACGAUGGGUAGGGGAACUGAGAGGUUUAUCCCCCACACUGGUACUGAGACACGGACCAGACUCCUACGGGAGGCAGCAGUGAGGAAUAUUGGUCAAUGGGCGCGAGCCUGAACCAGCCAAGUCGCGUGAAGGAUGACUGUCUUAUGGAUUGUAAACUUCUUUUAUACGGGAAUAACAAGAGUCACGUGUGACUCCCUGCAUGUACCGUAUGAAUAAGCAUCGGCUAACUCCGUG
rnacentral:rRNA from 1 species